rnacentral:rRNA from 1 species
GACGAACGCUGGCGGCGUGCUUAACACAUGCAAGUCGAACGGAAAGGCCCUUCUUUUGUUGGGUGCUCGAGUGGCGAACGGGUGAGUAACAUGUGAGUAACCUGCCCUUGACUUUGGGAUAACUUCAGGAAACUGGGGCUAAUACCGUAUAUGAGCUCCUGCUGCAUGGUGGGGGUUGGAUAGUUUCGGCGGUUGGGGAUGGACUCGCGGCUUUUCAGCUUGUUGGUGGGGUAGUGGCUUACCAAGGCUUUGACGGGUAGCCGGCCUGAGAGGGUGACCGGCAACAUUGGGACUGAGAUACGGCCAAGACUCAUACGGGAGGAAGCAGUGGCGAAUAUUGCACAAUGGGAGGAAGCCUGAUGCAGCACCGCCGCGUGCGGGAUGACGGCCUUCGGGUAGUAAACCGCUAUCGCCUGUGACGAAGCGUGAGUGACGGUAAUGGGUAAAGACGCACCGGCUAACUCAGUG